rnacentral:rRNA from 1 species
UGCCUAAUACAUCCAAGUCGAGCGCGCCCCUUCGGGGACGAGCGGCGGACGGGUGGGUAACACGUGGAUAACCUGUCCAGAAGUCGGGGAUUACCCCUGGAAACGGGGGUCAAUACCGGAUACGCCCCCCGGAUCGCAUGGUUCGGAGGGGAAAGGUACCUUCGGGUGUCGCUUUUGGGUGGAUCCGCGGCGCAUUAGCUAGUUGGUGAGGUAAGGGCUCACCAAGGCGACGAUGCGUAGCCGGCUUGGGAGAGCGGACGGCCACACUGGGACUGAGACACGGCCCAGACUCCUACGGGAGGCAGCAGUAGGGAAUUUUCCGCAAUGGGCGAAAGCCUGACGGAGCGACGCCGCGUGGGUGAAAAGACGGCCUUCGGGUUGUAAGGCCCUGUUCAUCGGGAAGAAGAAAUGACGGUACCGGUGAAGAAAGCCCCGGCUAACUACGUGCCAGCAGCCGCGGUAAUACGUAGGGGGCGAGCGUUGUCCGGGAUGAUUGGGCGUAAAGGGCGUGUAGGCGGAUGUAUAGGUCGGGCGUGAAAGGCACGGGCUCAACCCGUGUAAGCGUUCGAAA